rnacentral:rRNA from 1 species
GGGUUGUGAGGUUAAGCGACUAAGCGUACACGGUGGAUGCCCUGGCAGUCAGAGGCGAUGAAGGACGUGCUAAUCUGCGAUAAGCGUCGGUAAGGUGAUAUGAACCGUUAUAACCGGCGAUUUCCGAAUGGGGAAACCCAGUGUGUUUCGACACACUAUCAUUAACUGAAUCCAUAGGUUAAUGAGGCGAACCGGGGGAACUGAAACAUCUAAGUACCCCGAGGAAAAGAAAUCAACCGAGAUUCCCCCAGUAGCGGCGAGCGAACGGGGAGCAGCCCAGAGCCUGAAUCAGUGUGUGUGUUAGUGGAAGCGUCUGGAAAGGCGCGCGAUACAGGGUGACAGCCCCGUACACAAAAAUGCACAUGCUGUGAGCUCGAUGAGUAGGGCGGGACACGUGGUAUCCUGUCUGAAUAUGGGGGGACCAUCCUCCAAGGCUAAAUACUCCUGACUGACCGAUAGUGAACCAGUACCGUGAGGGAAAGGCGAAAAGAACCCCGGCGAGGGGAGUGAAAAAGAACCUGAAACCGUGUACGUACAAGCAGUGGGAGCACGCUUAGGCGUGUGACUGCGUACCUUUUGUAUAAUGGGUCAGCGACUUAUAUUCUGUAGCAAGGUUAACCGAAUAGGGGAGCCGAAGGGAAACCGAGUCUUAACUGGGCGUUAAGUUGCAGGGUAUAGACCCGAAACCCGGUGAUCUAGCCAUGGGCAGGUUGAAGGUUGGGUAACACUAACUGGAGGACCGAACCGACUAAUGUUGAAAAAUUAGCGGAUGACUUGUGGCUGGGGGUGAAAGGCCAAUCAAACCGGGAGAUAGCUGGUUCUCCCCGAAAGCUAUUUAGGUAGCGCCUCGUGAAUUCAUCUCCGGGGGUAGAGCACUGUUUCGGCAAGGGGGUCAUCCCGACUUACCAACCCGAUGCAAACUGCGAAUACCGGAGAAUGUUAUCACGGGAGACACACGGCGGGUGCUAACGUCCGUCGUGAAGAGGGAAACAACCCAGACCGCCAGCUAAGGUCCCAAAGUCAUGGUUAAGUGGGAAACGAUGUGGGAAGGCCCAGACAGCCAGGAUGUUGGCUUAGAAGCAGCCAUCAUUUAAAGAAAGCGUAAUAGCUCACUGGUCGAGUCGGCCUGCGCGGAAGAUGUAACGGGGCUAAACCAUGCACCGAAGCUGCGGCAGCGACACUAUGUGUUGUUGGGUAGGGGAGCGUUCUGUAAGCCUGUGAAGGUGUACUGUGAGGUAUGCUGGAGGUAUCAGAAGUGCGAAUGCUGACAUAAGUAACGAUAAAGCGGGUGAAAAGCCCGCUCGCCGGAAGACCAAGGGUUCCUGUCCAACGUUAAUCGGGGCAGGGUGAGUCGACCCCUAAGGCGAGGCCGAAAGGCGUAGUCGAUGGGAAACAGGUUAAUAUUCCUGUACUUGGUGUUACUGCGAAGGGGGGACGGAGAAGGCUAUGUUGGCCGGGCGACGGUUGUCCCGGUUUAAGCGUGUAGGCUGGUUUUCCAGGCAAAUCCGGAAAAUCAAGGCUGAGGCGUGAUGACGAGGCACUACGGUGCUGAAGCAACAAAUGCCCUGCUUCCAGGAAAAGCCUCUAAGCAUCAGGUAACAUCAAAUCGUACCCCAAACCGACACAGGUGGUCAGGUAGAGAAUACCAAGGCGCUUGAGAGAACUCGGGUGAAGGAACUAGGCAAAAUGGUGCCGUAACUUCGGGAGAAGGCACGCUGAUAUGUAGGUGAAGUCCCUCGCGGAUGGAGCUGAAAUCAGUCGAAGAUACCAGCUGGCUGCAACUGUUUAUUAAAAACACAGCACUGUGCAAACACGAAAGUGGACGUAUACGGUGUGACGCCUGCCCGGUGCCGGAAGGUUAAUUGAUGGGGUUAGCGCAAGCGAAGCUCUUGAUCGAAGCCCCGGUAAACGGCGGCCGUAACUAUAACGGUCCUAAGGUAGCGAAAUUCCUUGUCGGGUAAGUUCCGACCUGCACGAAUGGCGUAAUGAUGGCCAGGCUGUCUCCACCCGAGACUCAGUGAAAUUGAACUCGCUGUGAAGAUGCAGUGUACCCGCGGCAAGACGGAAAGACCCCGUGAACCUUUACUAUAGCUUGACACUGAACAUUGAGCCUUGAUGUGUAGGAUAGGUGGGAGGCUUUGAAGUGUGGACGCCAGUCUGCAUGGAGCCGACCUUGAAAUACCACCCUUUAAUGUUUGAUGUUCUAACGUUGACCCGUGAUCCGGGUUGCGGACAGUGUCUGGUGGGUAGUUUGACUGGGGCGGUCUCCUCCUAAAGAGUAACGGAGGAGCACGAAGGUUGGCUAAUCCUGGUCGGACAUCAGGAGGUUAGUGCAAUGGCAUAAGCCAGCUUGACUGCGAGCGUGACGGCGCGAGCAGGUGCGAAAGCAGGUCAUAGUGAUCCGGUGGUUCUGAAUGGAAGGGCCAUCGCUCAACGGAUAAAAGGUACUCCGGGGAUAACAGGCUGAUACCGCCCAAGAGUUCAUAUCGACGGCGGUGUUUGGCACCUCGAUGUCGGCUCAUCACAUCCUGGGGCUGAAGUAGGUCCCAAGGGUAUGGCUGUUCGCCAUUUAAAGUGGUACGCGAGCUGGGUUUAGAACGUCGUGAGACAGUUCGGUCCCUAUCUGCCGUGGGCGCUGGAGAACUGAGGGGGGCUGCUCCUAGUACGAGAGGACCGGAGUGGACGCAUCACUGGUGUUCGGGUUGUCAUGCCAAUGGCACUGCCCGGUAGCUAAAUGCGGAAGAGAUAAGUGCUGAAAGCAUCUAAGCACGAAACUUGCCCCGAGAUGAGUUCUCCCUGACUCCUUGAGAGUCCUGAAGGAACGUUGAAGACGACGACGUUGAUAGGCCGGGUGUGUAAGCGCAGCGAUGCGUUGAGCUAACCGGUACUAAUGAACCGUGAGGCUUAACCUUACAACGCCGAAGGUGUUU